UGGUUGUGAAGGCUGAAGAUCAAAUUGCCAAGUGGAAUCCCAUCCAUCACGGGGACCAACACCAGCCAUCUGCUCCCCACCACCACCUUCAAAGAGCGCAUGGAAGCUGGGCAGCUGGCUGGCAGCUGGAAGGAGGGCAAGAUGGCCUGGCCAG
rnacentral:lncRNA from 1 species